CAUGCUCAGGACGCCACAGGCCCUGUGCACGUUGACCCUCGGUCCCUUCCCUCUGUCACCUCGACUGCCUGAGGCCCCACAGGGCUGUGCUCUGCCCCAACACUUGCCACCCACUCCCCAGGGCCACUGUUCCUCAACCCUAGCUGCACAUACGUGGCACGCGUCUGCCCGCCACGCCUGCGCUUUAAAGGAAGACAGUGUCCUGCUGUUGCUGGCGCUCAGCCAAGGGUCCCAGACCCGUCCGCACUGCCAGGUACACCUCGGGGACUCGGCAGAGCAGCCAUGGUGACGUCUGCCUGUGGAAGGUCCUCCUUCAACGUGUCGGAAUGUGACACCGGUGCAACCCAGUGACGCAGGGCCUGGGGACCAGGUCAGUCCGUAUUUGAACCUCCGAAGAGUCUUGGCUUGCCUGCAGCAGGCCCGGAUGAAUGCCAUCUUAUGGAAGACGGUCCCACUCCGCAGUCUAGGAGAUGCCGUUGCCAAGCACGGUGCCUGCCAGGCUGUCGUGAAGCACCCAAGUGUGCGUCCCCUUCUUGCCUGUUCCCCCACGGGCAUGGGCCCCGGAGUGAGGGCUGGCACGCUGUUGGUGCGCGGGCCCCCAGCCAGCAAAGUGGUGACAGGGGCACUUGCUGAGGCCUCCAUGGUUCUUAGAUUAACUCUGAAGUAGGUGCGGUUUUUCAGACGCAGGCGUGGUGGCUUUAACUGGCGGCCUUUCACCCCCACGUCCCACUGCCCACCCCGAAUCCCCUGCCCUCCAACCUCGUGGGAUGCGCCACCCUCAUGGCCGGAGCCAGUGGUUGCUGUGGGCCCACAGUCCCAUCAUAGCGUGUAAGGUUCAAGUUCAAACUUGAUGUCCCGACGCCCUGUUGGGGACUUGGCAAGCAAGGAGAGCCGAAUGGUGUUAGGCCUGGCAUGCGCUGCGACCCGCCCCGCGGAGGGAAAGGACAGUGAGACCUCGUGAGCGUGUGCAGGGCCCGGCCUUGGGGCACACAGAUGGGCGUGUGGCGUGCUUCACACCCGGGGAAGCAGCGCGGUCACCUAGAGCCAGGGAGGUGAGGCUGGCCCUUCGCCCUGGCGUCCCUGUGUUGGCCUGGGAACUGAGGAUGCAGCGCCGUGUCCCGGGCUCGUGGGAGGGUGGCCUGGAGUCGCGGCCCUCACUGCAGCUGGCGACGCUGCAUGGAAUCUGCGCCAGCGCCUCCCGCGUCGUCCUGGCCCCGCAUCCCCAGCAGGCGGGGGCUCUCUCCCUGCACACCAGGGGUGAACCCUUUGCGAACUGAGAACUCCAUGGUGGGCCCGUGUGGGAGAGGCACCCGGCUGGCUCCAGGCUUGUCUGCCACCUGCCGCCAGACGUCGCAGCAGAGACAGCAGGCCCCCAGGUCACGAGAUCCAAGGCUGCUUUCAUGUGUACGAGACAGAACUGCAGCGUCACUCCGAAAGCCAGCACUAGUGCGUGUCCUUGCACUGAGGGAUGCGCACGUUCGGUUUGCUGCCGCCCCGCUUACACCCUCAGGACCGUCGCGGCUCGGGGUCUGGCUCGGUUGGGCUUGAAGGCAGAUGUGUCCCGUGCGUGCCGGGCACCUUCUGUGCCCUUCGCAGACUCUAUCUCCACGGUCCCUUCACUUUGUACAUCACAAAAGGUGGACACGAGGAGCCUGCAGAGGCUGCAGAGCUCCCGGGGCGGCCAGGACCUACCCUUGACCCAGCUGCGUGCGAGCACUGUGCGCUCUGCCACUCAGUCAGACACGGCUGGCCCCUCUCCGCCUGUUGUCACCCAGUCACCCGCAGUUAUUACAGGAAUUGCUUUAAACUGGCGCUCUUCUGAAUAACGUGAUGAAAUCUCACGCAGUCCGGCUCCCUCCGCCCUGUCUGCAACACACUCUUGUCCAGCGCGACCGUGCUGUGUUCGCUUCCUGCCUGUCAGUCACUUAGUGGCCCUCCCGGCCAUCACGCUAUGGCAGUGCUCUGAGUGCUGAGUUCGCAGCACCCUUAUUUUACUCAGUCUGUUCGUUUCCGGAGUCAACCUCGCCGUGCCUGAUUUAUCACUUAGGUCAUCGCAGGUGUGCAGGCACGGGAGAGACGGUGCAUGUCUGCCUGGUGCUCUCUGCUGUCCCCGGCACCCACGGGGGCCUUAGGACGUGUCCCUCCAGAUGAGGGGGCUCCGUACUUAAACAGGCGCUGGCCCUCACCCCUGGCUCCUCCUCCCCCUCGGUCUUGAUUCCUCUCAUCCCUCCAUUUUCAGGUCCUCCCAAGGCCCUAGCCUCCCGUCUCUAAAACGUAAAGCCCUCAGGUGACCGUUUCUCUUGUCACUGCACCAUGACUCGGCUGGGCCAGUCUCUCCUCACAGGGCUCCUUCAAACUGCCUGUUGCCCGGCUCAGAAACACAGCCCCUUCCCUGCCCGCCCCCAAACUGCGCCCCUUCGUCCAUGGUGCAGACCCCUUCCUGUGCUUAGUGGAGUCCCAACUUCCGGUUCUGCCCUUGGGGCUUAAACCCACCACACGGCACUACUCGGGUGAACCCCAACUCAGCCUUUGCCACGCUCCCAGUAACUUCCACACACAGGCUGAUUGCACACAUGUAUUUAACAAGUUUUACACGGAAUGCUAAGCGCACUUUCUUCGGACUUUACAGAGGGGCUUGAAGCGUGGACUCCUGUUCACACUCACACCACAGCAGAGCCAAACCUAGUGCCUAAGCAGAUGCGCCGCCAUUGUUCAGAGUUUAAAAGGCGCAAUGGCAACGAUGAGGGCAGGAGAAAGCACAGGAUUACAGAACCGAACGAAAAAUAAACUCGAGAAAAAGUCAAUAAAA